rnacentral:rRNA from 1 species
GAUGAACGCUGGCGGCGUGCUUAACACAUGCAAGUCGAACGGAAAGGCCCAAGCUUGCUUGGGUACUCGAGUGGCGAACGGGUGAGUAACACGUGGGUGAUCUGCCCCGCACUUCGGGAUAAGCCUGGGAAACUGGGUCUAAUGCCGGAUAGGACAGUGGUUUGGAUGCCAUUGUGGAAAGUUUUUUCGGUGUGGGAUGAGCUCGCGGCCUAUCAGCUUGUUGGUGGGGUAAUGGCCUACCAAGGCGUCGACGGGUAGCCGGCCUGAGAGGGUGUACGGCCAAAUUGGGACCUAGAUACGGCCCAGACUCCUACGGGAGGCAGCAGUGGGGAAUAUUGCACAAUGGGCGCAAGCCUGAUGCAGCGACGCCGCGUGGGGGAUGACGGCCUUCGGGUUGUAAACUCCUUUCGCUAGGGACGAAGCGUUAUGUGACGGUACCUAGAGAAGAAGCACCGGCUAACUACGUG